rnacentral:rRNA from 1 species
UGCCCAGACUCCUACGGGAGGCAGCAGUGGGGAAUAUUGCACAAUGGGGGAAACCCUGAUGCAGCGACGCCGCGUGAGUGAAGAAGUAUUUCGGUCUGUAAAGCUCCAUCAGCAGGGAAGAAAAUGACGGUACCUGACUAAGAAGCCCCGGCUAACUACGUGCCAGCAGCCGCGGUAAUACGUAGGGGGCAAGCGUUAUCCGGAUUUACUGGGUGUAAAGGGAGCGUAGACGGCAUGGCAAGUCAGAUGUGAAAGCCCGGGGCGCAACCCCGGGACUGCAUUUGAAACUGUCAGGCUGGAGUGCAGGAGAGGUAAGUGGAAUUCCAGGUGUAGGAGUGAAAUCCGUAGAUAUCUGGAGGAACAUCAGUGGCGAAGGCGACUAUCUGGCACAUAACUGACGCUGAGGAGCGAAAGCGUGGGUAGCAAACAGGAUUAGAUACCCCCGUAAUU